rnacentral:lncRNA from 1 species
AGUCUGGGGACAUCUUGGGGGGGUCCCGGGGGACAUUCUGGUCCCCUUGGGGACGCUUCGGGGACGUACAGGGCUCUCCUGGGCCAUGGCAACCACAAGAACCAGGAGCAGCGCAUGGGACAACUUGGGGACAUCGAAUACUCCUUGGGGACAAUUCAGGCUCUUAUGGGACACUAGGGGAGCCUAGGGACAUUCUAGGUCCCUUUGGGGAUGUUUUGGGGGCAUACGGGGCUCUCCUGGGCCAUGACGCCCACAGGAACCAGGAGCAGCGCAUGGGACAACUUGGGGACAUCAAAGACCCCUUGGGAACAUUUCAGCCUCUUACGGGACACUGGGGGAGUCUGGGGACAUCUUGAGGGGUCCCUGGGGACGUUCUGGGUCCCCUUGGGGAUGUUUUGGGGGCCCCUUGGGGACGUUUCAGGGACGUAUGGGGCUCUCCUGGGUCUUGGCGCCCGCAACGACCAGGAGCAGCACAUGGGACAACUUGGGGACAUCGAAGACCCUUUGGGGACAAUUCAGGUUCUUAUGGGACACCGGAGGAGUCUAAAAACAUCUCAGGGGGUUCCUGGGGACAUUCUGGGUUCCCUUGGGGACAUUUUGGGGUCACAGGGAGGCUCCCUGCAUCUCUGCACCCACCCUUGUCCCCAGCACCAUGUCCUGGGGGCACCCAAGGCCACAGAGCUAUGUGUGAGAGAAUCAGGGGACAUUUGGGGGUAUCUUGGAGAUCCCAGGGACAUCUCAGGGUCCUGGGUGACAUCUUGGGCCCUCACAGGGACAUUUUGGGGUCUCACAGGGACAUUUUGGGGAUGCAAGAGAAGAUCCCCGCGCCCCUGCACCCACCACCACGUUCCGAGUGCACCCGGAGCCGCAGAGGAGCACGGGGGGGGGGAUUUGGGGAGGUUUGGGGGUACCUUGGGGACACUUGGGGACCCCAGAGACAUCUCGGGGUCCUGGGGGACAUCUUGGGCCCUCACGGGGACAUUUUGGGCCCUCACGGGGACAUUUUAGGGCCGCAAGAGAAGAUCCUCGCG